rnacentral:rRNA from 1 species
AUUGAACGCUGGCGGCAUGCCUACACAUGCAAGUCGAACGGUAGCGGGCCUUCGGGUGCCGACGAGUGGCGAACGGGUGAGUAAUGUAUCGGAACGUACCUUUCAGUGGGGGAUAACGUAGCGAAAGUUACGCUAAUACCGCAUAUUCUGUGAGCAGGAAAGCAGGGGAUCGCAAGACCUUGCGCUGAUUGAGCGGCCGAUAUCAGAUUAGCUAGUUGGUGAGGUAAAGGCUCACCAAGGCGACGAUCUGUAGCGGGUCUGAGAGGAUGAUCCGCCACACUGGAACUGAGACACGGUCCAGACUCCUACGGGAGGCAGCAGUGGGGAAUUUUGGACAAUGGGGGCAACCCUGAUCCAGCCAUGCCGCGUGAGUGAAGAAGGCCUUCGGGUUGUAAAGCUCUUUCGGCUGGGAAGAAAUCGUAUGGGUUAAUACCCUGUGCGGAUGACGGUACCGGCAUAAGAAGCACCGGCUAACUACGUGCCAGCAGCCGCCGUAAAAC